rnacentral:misc_RNA from 1 species
AGUUAGGAAUCUUGUAUAUAAAUAUGCAUAUGUACAAAGUCAAUUGAUACAUAAGAAUACACAAAUUUUUCCCACCAGUCAGUUGUUUCAAAUCAGCAUGGUAUCAGAGCUUUCAAUUCAUUUGGUUGGGCUUUAGUACUGUUCAUAUGCACUGUUCAUCAGCACUAUUCACUGUACUAUUUAUUGGCACUGUUCAUCAUACUGUUUAUGUUACUGUUCACAACCCAUGAACCUUUUUUUCCGGCUUUUUUUUAAUUUUUCCUCGUAUGUUCGCCUUUGACUAGCCCAAACCCGUGACUUGGUUCUUACUUCUCUACAUUUGAGAUCUUACACAAUGGCAGAAAGGAAAAAAAACAGCUACUGGAGAUAAUGCAACUAUUUUUUAUGAUAAUCCCUCUCUACAAAUCAAUCCUAUAAAGCUUGACGGAACAAAUUAUCUUGAUUGGUCAAGAUCCUGUCUUUUGUUCAUUCAAGCUAAAAGAUUGCAGGGAUAUAUCAUUGGAGAUAAGUCAAAACCAGAGACCACCAAUUCCACCUACAAUCAAUGGGAAUUAGAAAACUCUUUCGUAAUGUUUUGGCUAAUUAAUGCUAUGCAACCUCAAAUAGCUUGAGGAUAUUUGUUAUUGGACAAUGCAGCUGCCAUUUGGA